CUGUCCCUGACUGUCCCCAGGCUGUCCCUGUCCCUGGGCUGUCCCUGUCCCUGACUGUCCCUGACUGUCCCCGGGCCGUCCGUGUCCCCCAGGCCGUGUCGGGGAAGUUCACGCCCAUCACGCAGUGGCUUUACUUCGACGCGCUCGAGUGUCUGCCCGAGGAGAACCGUGACACGCUGCUGACCGAGGAGCAGUGCCGGCCGCGCAACAGCCGCUACGACGGGCAGAUCGCCGUGUUCGGGGCCGAGCUGCAGGCCAAGCUGGGCGCCCAGAAGUACUUCGUGGUCAGUGUCCCCAUGUCCCCAGCAUCCUCACGUGUGUUCUCCAUCAUCCUGGAGUCUCUUGUGUUGUCACCCGUUCCUCAAACGUCACCAAAUUUCCCUUCAGAGAUUUACAGGCGUCACCUCUCCCACCUGCACGUCCCCAGCUCUCCUGGGCCACCCUAAGUGUCCCCACACGUCUCUUCUGUGUUCCAUGGUGUCCUCACACGUUUCACGAUUGUUCCUUCAAGUCAUGUGCAUGUCCUCAAUGUCCCUCACGUCCCCAACUCUGAUCAAGCGUCCUCAGAGUGUCCCAAAGUGUCCCUUCACCCCCAUUCCUUCCCACCAUGUGUCCCCAACCCUGUGAGCCACCUCAUGCUGUAUCCCCACGUGUCCCCAGCCCUGUGAGCCACCUCGUGUUCUGUCCCCACACGUCCCCAACCCUGUGAGCCACCUCAUGCUGGGUCCCCAUGUGUCCCCAGCCCCGUGAGCCACCUCGUGCUCUGUCCCCACGUGUCCCCAACCCUCCUGGGCCACCUCAUGCUGUAUCCCCACAUGUUCCCAGCCCUGUGAGCCACCUCAUGCUCUGUCCCCACAUGUCCCCAGCCCCGUGAGCCACCUCGUGCUGUGUCCCCACGUGUCCCCAACCCUCCUGGGCCACCUCAUGCUCUGUCCCCACAUGUCCCCAGCCCUGUGAGCCACCUCGUGCUCUGUCCCCACAUGUCCCCAGCCCUCCUGGGCCACCUCGUGCUGUGUCCCCACGUGUCCCCAGCCCUGUGA
rnacentral:lncRNA from 1 species